GCGUUCUUAGUUUAAUUAUAAUGGAUAAAACAUCAAUCUUCUAAAUUGAUUUAUGGAGGUUCAAGUCCUUCAGAACGUA
rnacentral:tRNA from 1 species